GACCUGAAGAAACAAAGAGGGUAAGACGUGAGGAAGGCUUCUUCUACUCAUCACAAGUCACCCUGUAAGAGUAUAUUAGGUACCGGCUGUAAUCUACCAUCAGUAAAUGCAUUAAGUUACAUUAGGUGCCACCCUUUACAUGUCACUCAUGUAAAGUUCUUGUGAGUUUUCUUGGUCUGAUUUUUAACUUAGCAAGCAUGACUGAGUUACGUAAAGCCUACCAAUGGCUUGGCACAUACAGAGAAAAUGGGUUUCUAUGAACACUGAGGGUCAC
rnacentral:lncRNA from 1 species